rnacentral:rRNA from 1 species
AACGAACGCUGGCGGCAUGCCUAACACAUGCAAGUCGGACGAGACCUUCGGGUCUAGUGGCGCACGGGUGCGUAACGCGUGGGAAUCUGCCCUUGGGUUCGGAAUAACAGUUAGAAAUGACUGCUAAUACCGGAUAAUGACGUAAGUCCAAAGAUUUAUCGCCCAAGGAUGAGCCCGCGUAGGAUUAGCUUGUUGGUGAGGUAAGGGCUCACAAAGGCGACGAUCCUUCGCUGGUCUGAGAGGAUGAUCAGCCACACUGGGGCUGAGACACGGCCCAGACGCCUACGGGAGGCAGCAGGGGGGAAUUUUGGAAAAAGGGUGAAAGCCUGAACCAGAACGGCAGGGUGGGUAAAAAGGCCCUUAGGGUUAAAAAGCUCUUUUACCCGGGAAGUAAUGGACAGACCCGAAAAAUAAGGCCCCGCCAACCUCCUUCCAGCCGCCGCCGUAAAAC